rnacentral:rRNA from 1 species
GACGAACGCUGGCGGCGUGCUUAACACAUGCAAGUCGAGCGGUAAGGCCCUUCGGGGUACACGAGCGGCGAACGGGUGAGUAACACGUGGGUGAUCUGCCUUGCACUUCGGGAUAAGCCUGGGAAACUGGGUCUAAUACCGGAUAUGACCUUCCGAUGCAUGCUGGGUGGUGGAAAGAUUUAUCGGUGCGAGAUGGGCCCGCGGCCUAUCAGCUUGUUGGUGAGGUAACGGCUCACCAAGGCGACGACGGGUAGCCGACCUGAGAGGGUGACCGGCCACACUGGGACUGAGACACGGCCCAGACUCCUACGGGAGGCAGCAGUGGGGAAUAUUGCACAAUGGGCGAAAGCCUGAUGCAGCGACGCCGCGUGCGGGAUGACGGCCUUCGGGUUGUAAACCGCUUUUGACAGGGACGAAGCGCAAGUGACUGUACCUGUAGAAUAAGGACCGGCCAACUACGUG